rnacentral:lncRNA from 1 species
GGGCAACAGCACUGAUGACUGCCGAAAUUGAGGCAUGUAGAGACGAUAGAACCCCAGAGAUAUCUCUUCAUAAGAAAGUCCAGAAAGAGUGGGCUUGUGCUGUAUGCCUGCUCACAACCCAAAGUGAGGCUACCUUGAAUUCCCAUCUUCAAGGGAAGAGACAUCAGGCCACUUCUGAGCAGCUGAAAGCCAAAAACCAGGCAACCAAAGACAAUGGUUCCCCAUCUGCUUCAAUGGCCAAGAUAUCUGAUCAGUCCACCAAAGAGGAGCAACCGAAGUGUACUUCCAACAAUCUGAAUUCUAAAAACAAUGGAAUCUCAGCUGCUUCAACAGUGAAGAAACCAGAUGAGACCAAAGAUGAUAAGCGACAAAAGUGUGCAUCUAGCAAUGGACCGAACCAGAAGAAUAAAAAAGUGUGGGCUUGUGCUCUAUGCCAGGUCACAACCCAAAGUGAGGCUACCUUGAAUUCCCAUCUUCAAGGAAAGAGACAUCAGGCCACUUCUGAGCAGCUGAAAGCCAAAAACCAGGCAAUCAAAACCAAUGGCUCCCCAUCUGCUUCAAUGGCCAAGAAAUCUGAUGGGUCCACCAAAGAGGAGCAACUGAAGUGUACUUCCAACAAUCUGAAUUCCAAAAACAAUGGC